rnacentral:ncRNA from 1 species
AAAAUUUUAUUCUUGUUUAGAAAUUUAUUAUUAAUUUUUAUUAUAUGUAAAUUUUUGUGUUAUAAUUUUGAUAUUCUAAAUGAAUAAAUUAAUUUUAAUAUUUUCAGUAAUAAAUUUUAUAUAUUAAAGAAAUUUAGAAUUAGAAAUAUUAUUAAGGAUUAGCAAAAGUUGUGCCAGCAGCUGCGGUUAUACAAAAAAUAUAAAUAAAUAUUAUUAAUUUGUAGUUAGUUUAAUAAAAUUAAAAAUAAUAUUAAUUUUAUUAGGUAAAAUUUUAAAAUUUUAAAAUUUUAAAAAAUAUGAAGCUAUGAAAUUUAAUUAAUAAACUAGGAUUAGAUACCCUAUUAUUUUAAGUGUAAAAAUGAUUUAAAUUUAAGUAUUAAUAGUUAUAUUCUUUAAACUUAAAGAAUUUGGCGGUAUUUUAGUCUAUUUAGAGGAACCUGUUUUAUAAUUGAUAAUCCACGUUAAAUUUUACUUAAUUUUAAUAAUAAAGUUUGUAUAUCGUCGUCAUUAGAAUAUUUUAAAAGAAUUAAAAUUUUCUUAAAUUAUUAGUAUAAAAAAUGUCAGAUCAAGGUGCAGCAUAUAGUUAAGUAAAAAUGGGUUACAAUAAUAUAAAUUAUUGAUGGAAAAUUAGUUGAAAUAUUAAUUGUAAAUUGGAUUUAAUAGUAAAUAUAAUUAUAUUAUUAUAUUGAUUUUAGCUCUAAAAUAUGUACAUAUCGCCCGUCGCUCUCAUUUUAAAAUGAGAUAAGUCGUAACAUAGUAGAUGUACUGGAAAGUGUAUCUAGAAAGA